CCUACGGGAGGCAGCAGUGGGGAAUAUUGCACAAUGGGCGAAAGCCUGAUGCAGCGACGCCGCGUGAGGGAUGACGGCCUUCGGGUUGUAAACCUCUUUCAGCAGGGAAGAAGCGAGAGUGACGGUACCUGCAGAAGAAGCGCCGGCUAACUACGUGCCAGCAGCCGCGGUAAUACGUAGGGCGCAAGCGUUGUCCGGAAUUAUUGGGCGUAAAGAGCUCGUAGGCGGCUUGUUGCGUCGGUUGUGAAAGCCCGGGGCUUAACCCCGGGUCUGCAGUCGAUACGGGCAGGCUAGAGUGUGGUAGGGGAGAUCGGAAUUCCUGGUGUAGCGGUGAAAUGCGCAGAUAUCAGGAGGAACACCGGUGGCGAAGGCGGAUCUCUGGGCCAUUACUGACGCUGAGGAGCGAAAGCGUGGGGAGCGAACAGGAUUAGAUACCCUGGUAGUCCACGCCGUAAACGUUGGGAACUAGGUGUUGGCGACAUUCCACGUCGUCGGUGCCGCNGCUACGACAUUAGUUCCCGUCCGUCGGGUAGGUACGGCCGCGACGGACGUAAACCUACAAACUAGAAGUUAGACGGCGUGAGACGUGCCGAACGGACGACGACGAGGGAGGUAGG
rnacentral:rRNA from 1 species